GAUCAACCGAAGACAAAUGAGUUGUACGGUACUGCACCACAUGUUCGAAGCUCAGCGAGUAGUAACUCAGCACAGGCAUUAGAGCUGCAACUACACAGGGGGUUCAGGAGAGUCCAAGAUCGAGACAUGCUCCUCCUGCUUCGCACGUCCAGGAAGUAUUUGGCUUGAAGGAGAGCAUAUUCUCCUGCGAAAACAAUACGACUGGGCAUGCGGGCGGCCAACCUACCACAAGGAGUCGCCAGAGUGCAAUGAGACAAGCCCCGUCCGACAUCAUACCAACCACCCUAGACGGCCUUCAGCCCCUGGUCACUGACGCUUUCUAAUGGAUGGGCAGUCACACUGUGUCCUGCAUGAAUCCAACCCAGUUAACCAUAGUAGCCUCAGGAAUGUUGGUUUGGAACGAAGCCAUCGAGGAACUGAUGACCAAGUCAUCCUUUUGUCAUGUGUACCUCGAGUCACUCUCUCUCGCUCCCCCAUUCCCUUUCUCUCUCUUUCACUCUCUCUCCCACUUUAUUUGUAAACUGCCUACAGAUUAUAAAAUCUAUUAGAUUAAAAUAACAAAGGUCACUGAGUUAACUUGAAUUAUGUAUCUAUCAACAUGGAUCUGACCUAAAAAUCACAUUUAUACAUUUAUGGCACUUAAGAAAGUACUUUCUAUAAACUGUGUCAUGACCCAUAAGCUUAGUUAAAGGUAUGUAACAUUUGGCAGUAUGUAGUCAGGUGAGAGAAGGGCAAGCACAGUCUAAGACAUGUAUGUAAUAUUAAUG